CCCUUAGAGUUUGAUCCUGGCUCAGGAUGAACGCUAGCGGCAGGCCUAAUACAUGCAAGUCGAACGAGAUUAGGGAGCUUGCUCCCUAUGAAAGUGGCGCACGGGUGCGUAACGCGUAUGCAAUCUACCUUAAUCAGGGGGAUAGCCCGGAGAAAUCCGGAUUAAUACCACAUAAAAUAAUUGAAUGGCAUCAUUUAAUUAUCAAACAUUUAUGGGAUUAAGAUGAGCAUGCGUGACAUUAGUUAGUUGGUGAGGUAACGGCUCACCAAGACCACGAUGUCUAGGGGAUCUGAGAGGAUGACCCCCCACACUGGUACUGAGACACGGACCAGACUCCUACGGGAGGCAGCAGUAAGGAAUAUUGGUCAAUGGGCGCAAGCCUGAACCAGCCAUGCCGCGUGCAGGAAGACGGCCCUACGGGUUGUAAACUGCUUUUAUUCGGGAAUAAACCCUAUUACGUGUAAUAGGUUGAAUGUACCGAAGGAAUAAGGAUCGGCUAACUCCGUGCCAGCAGCCGCGGUAAUACGGAGGAUCCAAGCGUUAUCCGGAUUUAUUGGGUUUAAAGGGUGCGUAGGCGGCUUAUUAAG
rnacentral:rRNA from 1 species